rnacentral:tRNA from 1 species
GGGAAUGUAGCUCAGUGGCACAGUGCCUGCCUGGCAAGCAGAAGGUCCUGAGUUCAAUUCCCAGCACCA